AUCCAGCUCAGGGAGAGGUCUCCUCGCAGAACAGAUCCUAAAGUAGUAGAAAGCUCUGAAAAGUGAUGAGGAAGAGCUUGGUGUGUGAGCAAGGUGGCUUGAAGCCUUGCGUGUUAGCUAGCCAGCAAUGACCCUUCUGGGAUGGAGCCUUCAAGGGCUGAACAUGUACUCUGUGUAUGUGAAUGAAGGUCGUUCCAUUUACUUCAACUAGGUUACUACAGAAGAGAAGGCAGUGAUGUGGUCUGUGAAGCAGAAGACUGGAUAAAAAAGGUGGCUUCUGAUGACAGACUCAUGGUCUGUAGAGGAAGUGUAGAAACAGGUUCAGAUCUGCUGACCCAGCUGCAUUACAGGUCAGGAGGUUAAAAUCAUUGAUGAGGACUCUCCAACGGGUGGGUUUGCGUUUCAUCUCGCUGCAUUGUCUGCUCCCCGCUCCGAGGAGGACGACGUAUUUGCAGACUGGCAUUAAGGUUUUCAUGGUCAAUCAAUUUGCAAUGAACCUGAGCAGAGGAGGAGAAACCCUGGGUUUAAUUCAGGAUAACUGAGUACCACUAUGGGAAGCACAGGCCACCAUUUGCUGAGCUUUUCUCUGCGUUGAGAACCACCAGACAGCUUUCGGUGCGAGCUUUGGCAUGCGGGGAGGUGCCAGCUGCUGCGAGA